rnacentral:rRNA from 1 species
AUUGAACGCUGGCGGCAUGCCUAACACAUGCAAGUCGAACGAGUGGCGGACGGGUGAGUAAUGUCUGGGAAACUGCCUGAUGGAGGGGGAUAAAUACUGGAAACGGUAGCUAAUACCGCAUACCAUCGGAUGUGCCCAGAUGGGAUUAGCUAGUAGGUGGGGUAAAGGCUCACCAAGGCGACGAUCCCUAGCUGGUCUGAGAGGAUGACCAGCAACACGGGAACGGAGACAGGGUCCAGAGUCCUACGGGAGGAAGCAGUGGGGAAUAUUGCACAAUGGGCGCAAUCCUGAUGCAGCCAUGCCGCGUGGAUGAAGAAGGCCUUCGGGUUGUAAAGUACUUUCAGCGGGGAGGCGGUACCCGCAGAAGAAGCACCGGCUAACUCCGUGCCAGCAGCCGCGGUAAUUC